UAAGAUAAAAUCAAAGGAACUUGUUUUUUAAUCGAUAAUACUCGCUAAAUCUCACUUUUUAUAAAAGCUUAUAUACCGCCGUUUAAACAUUUUUAAAAUAAUUUUUUAUACCUCUAUUUAAAACUUCAGGUCAAGGUGUAGCCCAUAAAAAAGCUAAAAUAAGUUACUAUAAAAGCUAUUUAUAGAAAUAAAAGAAACUCAAAUAAAACCGGAUUUAAAAACAAUAAUCUAA
rnacentral:rRNA from 1 species